AAGAAGUUCUCGAUCUUCUCCCGGCACCCUGGAAAGAACACAGACAGGGUGAUCAUUAUCAUCCCUAUCCAUGAAUCCAUGCAUUCUGAAGGUAAGGUAUUGAGGACUUCAAAUGGAACCAAAGCUAGCUUAAAGUGUAAGUGAACCCCCAGUUUCAGCUCAAAUUUGAACACUGACAUAAAGAGAACUCAGGGAAGGUAGGGGAGAGGUGUAUCCCCGUGUUUUACGCCCACAGCGACUUCCUGAUACUUUUUUAAGCUAGUGCACAUCGUUAAGUCAGAGUGAUAUAAUGAGCCAUAUGAUAUUCGCCACACACCGUGGCGUUAGACAGUAGGCAUAUCCUCUUCUCGGACACAGCCAUCAACAUAAGCACUGCCCUAACUGAGCUCCACACAUCCACACCACCAUGGCAGUAGCAUCGCUCUCAGAGUUAGAAAUCAAGUGUCAUCAAAGUGCCACCGAAAAGCCAUUUUAACAUCACUAAAGGAACAGGACCCAAGUUUGGAGUAGAGUAGAAUGCUCAGAGCUCAGAGCAGAGUAGAACUGGCAGAAACAUUUGAUUUGUCACCAGGUUUUUCUGAAAUAACGCCAUUAACUUAGUAACGAUGACAAAAUGGCAUUGUGGGUACGUGCGACGACAAGCCUGCAGGGGGAGUAUGGGCAGGUUGGGAGCGCACCGGAUUGGCUGUGGGGGGUUGGACCCGAGUGCGAGCAGGUGUCAGCAGCACUCCAAUCAGGGAGUGUUUGUACUUAUGUGCCUGCUUUGUGUUUUAGUGGGAAGGGGGAAUCCAGAAAGGAUCGGGAGCGGAGAGACAGGGGCGAUCGCCGCCAGAGAUUGCAUUGAACGCACCCUGUGACCGCUUUGAGCGGAGUUAUAAUUUACCUUUAACCGAGUUAUGUUUUGAUGGACUUUGUUGGAGAGAAAAUAAAAGGACUUUCUGUUCAAAGAGCAAACCUGGUGUCCAAGCGCUCUGUGAACCCGUUACAGGCAUAAUUACUAUUUUGAAAAUCAUUGAAGACAUACUACACAAUUUGGGUAUAUAUAUACAUGAAAUAUGGAUUCACUGGCACUUUAAGGGCAUGAGGUGACACAGCCGUGCAUAUAUCAGGAUCUCGUUGCUAACCAUGUGAGCGCUUUGGUCGUAAAAGUCCGUCUGCGGCGUGAAAGAGUUCCUGCGCAUGGCGUUAGACAUCGGAGGCAGGGGCUGACCCUCGGGCUGGCCUAGGACAUGCUGAUCCAUCAUGGGCAUGUGUCCAGGGGAGGGGGGCGUGUGUGGGGACGGCUGACUCACCGGGUGUGGAGGCAUCGGAGUCAUUUGAUGGGGAGAGGGCUGGUUUACCGGAUAAGGGGCUUGGUUCGUCAGAUGGGGAGGUUGUUGGUUCAUCAGAUGGGGAGGUUGUUGGUUCAUCUGAUGGGGAGGUUGUUGGUUCAUCUGAUGGGGAGGUUGUUGGUUCAUCUGAUGGGGAGGUUGUUGGUUCAUCGGAUGGGGAGGUUGUUGGUUCAUCGGAUGGGGAGGUUGUUGAUUCAUCUGAUCGGGAGGUUGUUGGUUCAUCUGGGGGGGAGGUUGUUGGUGCAUCUGGGGGAGGAUGUUGGUUCAUCUGGGGGAGGUUGUUGGUGCAUCUGGGGGGAGGAUGUUGGUUCAUCAGAUGGGGAGGUUGUUGGUUCAUCUGAUGGGGAGGUUGUUGGUUCAUCUGAUGGGGAGGUUGUUGGUUCAUCUGGGGAGGCAUGUGAGAGCCCAUGUGUCCCGGGUGAGGGGGCGAGGAGCUGGGCUGCUGCUGGAGAGGUGGAGGGUACAUGUCCGAGGGCUGGGGCUGCUGAGGCUCGUAGGGAGAGGGGCCGGAGUCGGGGACCUGCGGUAGGUAGCCUGCGGCCGGGCCGGGGGGCACGGGGUAGAACUGGUGGACCUCUGAUGGGUGGUGCUGUGGAACCAUGCCGUCUUGGAGGAUGGUAGUUGGGGCUGUAAGAGAACAUAUAGUGUAUUUAUAACACAUAUUUAGAUUUACAUGAAGAAAUAACCAAUAGCUCAAUAACUUGCUAACUUCAGUUAUAUGUAAGAUACAGAUGGUGGAUUUUAAGUAUAACACAAACACAUACCUCAUGAUGUGUGCCCAUAUGAGAAAACGACUGCAUGGAUUUUGUGUAUCAUCUUAUCCUAGCUAGCUGUGUUGCAUAUGGG
ensembl:lncRNA